CUGGUGAGUGCUGUCCGUGGGUAGAUAGGAAUAGAUAUGGGAAAUUGUUAUUUUAUGUGGGGCGGCCAUUGGGAGCAGCUUUCCAUGGAUUCCUUUCAAAUGAAGGGAUGUCAUAUACCCCUUCACCUCCUCCUAUAUAAACCGUUCCAAUCCUUCCCUUGUUCACCGCGCAAAAUCUUUCUCCAUGUAGUCUCCUCUUGAAGUUCCUCAGAGAUCUACAUCAUGUCUCCUCUUGAAGUUCCUCAGAGAUCUAUUUGCAGCUUGGGGACAGUAUGCAGGUAAUGUGCCAACGGAGUUUGAACCCUGGAUCGCCCCCGAGUGCAAGUACUUAGAAGAGAGGUGCUGACAACAGCCUCAAGAGAAGUAUAUUGAGGUGCCGUUUCAUAAUCCUUAGAAGCCUACUCAAGAGCUGUGAUGCUCUGAUACAAGUGAAAUGAUGAUCAUAAUGCGUCUAUACAUAUAUAAUCUCUUGUUUUAUCAUUCUCUCAAGCUCUAUAUUUUUCUCUUUAUAAGAGAGAGAGAGAGAGGAGAGGUGGGGGGGUUGUGGGGGCCUAAAAUAUACUUGAUAGUAUUUGGUCCUAAAUGCUUCACAAAAUGAAUGAUGGAUCUCUCAAUCUGAAAAUCCACAUCAUUGAUCAAUUUUAAUAUCACAGUGUAUUAGGAAGAAGAUGGAAUCGCAAUCAAUUUCAUGUUUUUAGAUUAUUUUACUCUAUUAUUUUAUAUUCUUAGAUAUCUAUAUUUAUUUUUUAUAUUUCGUUGGGAUAACUUUGAAAAUAGAUAAUUAAAAUAUUAAUAGUUUACCAUUUUUUUAAAAAAUAAAUAUUAUGCUAAGGAAAGCGUUGGAGGUCCCUGGGCUGUUAAGCCAUGGAUGCAAUAUUAUUUAAUUUUUUUAAAAAUAUUAUAAUACAAUUGCUUGUUGAUUUGGAAAGAAAAAUGUGCACAUAAUUUUUUUGAAAGUCCUAUAUGAAAAAAAAAAUUGAAAUCUUUUGAGCACCCCAAAUUUCUCUUGCCUGUGUCCUAACUAACUAAUCUCUCUAUCUAACAUAGUUAAUUUCUGCCUCCAUCUCUAUCUCUCCCUCCAACAACCUCAUUCACCUCCAAUCUCUAUCUCUCAAUUUAAAUUUUAUUUUUAUAUAAUACUAAUUAUUAUUUUUUAUGGGUAUUUUAUCCUUCAUUUAAAACCAUGAAAGUUAUUCCUUAUUGUCCCAUCCAACAUGCACUAUACAUAUUUGCAUGCCACCAGUUCAAAAAGAGUCAAAAGGAGUCAAAUAGAUUAGUAGAAUGUACAGAUUAAUUAACAUACGUACCUUUGCACAACUAAAUGUACUUAUAUUUGUCUUGAGGGAAACCGAGUGGCUGGCCAAGCUGUACGUGGAUCUUGCUGAUGGUAUAAGGACUUCGGAUUUCAUGAGUUCUAAAGUGUUGCUAGCCUUGAUGCUCAAAGACACACCUUUUUGUGUGCAUAAUGCAUAAUUGCAGAUCUUAAAGUCCUGAGACCCAGCUUCUCGAUGGAUCCAGUUUGUUGUGGCCUUAUUCAGAAGGCACUCUCCUCCAACCAAAUAGGAAUCCUGCCUCCGAUAAAACAAGCACUGGGCCACUCCAAUCAAGAAAAAAUCUCCACUUUGUUCCAAGAAAUUCACGUGACCGAGACCCAAGCAUGCUCGAAAACUAGCAAGAAUCCACGGCGCUGACGCUUCCUACGCCCAGAAACUUCAUAUCCUCUUAUCCUUUAAAAACCGAGAGAGAGAGAGAGAGAGAGAGAGAGAGAGAGAGAGCUCUUCCCCAGCACUUUGACUUUGCACCCAUGUAACUAAUGUAUGAAGGACAAACGAAUAAAAAGUAAUAAAAAAACACUAAUCUAUGAA